UUCCGGUUGAUCCUGCCGGAAGCCAUUGCUAUUGGGAUCCGAUUUAGCCAUGCUAGUCGCACGAGUUCAGACUCGUGGCGAAUAGCUCAGUAACACGUGGCCAAACUACCCUUCGGAACACAAUACCCUCGGGAAACUGAGGCUAAUAGUGUAUAUCGUACCACCACUGGAAUGAGUGGUACGCCAAACGCUCCGGCGCCGAAGGAUGUGGCUGCGGCCGAUUAGGUAGACGGUGGGGUAACGGCCCACCGUGCCAAUAAUCGGUAUGGGUCAUGAGAGUGAGAACCCAGAGACGGAAUCUGAGACAAGAUUCCGGGCCCUACGGGGCGCAGCAGGCGCGAAACCUUUACACUGCACGACAGUGCGAUAGGGGGAUCCCAAGUGCACAGGCAUAGCGCCUGUGCUUUUCGGCACCCUAAGGCGGUGCCAGAAUAAGGGCUGGGCAAGACCGGUGCCAGCCGCCGCGGUAAUACCGGCAGCCCAAGUGAUGGCCGAUCUUAUUGGGCCUAAAGCGUCCGUAGCUGGCCGCGCAAGUCCAUCGGGAAAUCCACCUGCUCAACAGGUGGGCGCCCGGUAGAAACUGCGUGGCUUGGGACCGGAAGGCGCGACGGGUACGUCCGGGGUAGGAGUGAAAUCCCGUAAUCCUGGACGGACCGCCGAUGGCGAAAGCACGUCGCGAGAACGGAUCCGACAGUGAGGGACGAAAGCCAGGGUCUCGAACCGGAUUAGAUACCCGGGUAGUCCUGGCCGUAAACAAUGUCUGCUAGGUGUGGCUCCCACUACGAGUGGGUGCUGUGCCGUAGGGAAGCCGCUAAGCAGACCGCCUGGGAAGUACGUCCGCAAGGAUGAAACUUAAAGGAAUUGGCGGGGGAGCACUACAACCGGAGGAGCCUGCGGUUUAAUUGGACUCAACGCCGGACAUCUCACCAGCAUCGACUGUGGUAAUGACGAUCAGGUUGAUGACCUUAUCCGAGCCUCAGAGAGGAGGUGCAUGGCCGCCGUCAGCUCGUACCGUGAGGCGUCCUGUUAAGUCAGGCAACGAGCGAGACCCGCACCCUUACUUGCCAGCAGUACCGCGAGGUAGCUGGGGACAGUAGGGGGACCGCCGUGGCUAACACGGAGGAAGGAACGGGCAACGGUAGGUCAGUAUGCCUCGAAUGUGCUGGGCAACACGCGGGCUACAAUGGUCGAGACAAAGGGUUCCUACUCCGAAAGGAGACGGUAAUCUCAGAAACUCGAUCGUAGUUCGGAUUGUGGGCUGCAACUCGCCCACAUGAAGCUGGAUUCGGUAGUAAUCGCGUGUCACAAGCGCGCGGUGAAUACGUCCCUGCUCCUUG
rnacentral:rRNA from 1 species